GAAAAAAUAAGUUAAUAAAACUAUUGGGUUCAUACCCCAACCAUAGAGAUUACAAUUCUCUUUUUUUCA
rnacentral:tRNA from 1 species